CCUAAUUAAAUACACGUAAACCUUUAGCCGAAUCACCAAAACACCAUAAUAUGCUAUUGAAAAUAUGUUUUGUACUGCCACUCAUAACAAUUGCAAUUGCACUUGAUGAACCACAAAAACUCAAGGAUAAAUCCACUAAAUUGCCACCUUGCAAAGCGUGCACAGUGCUGGUGGAGUCAUUCAACUUGGGCUUGGAGCGUACAAAACGAGGCAAACAUGCCGGCGGCGACGCAGCCUGGGAGCAGGAGAAAAUGCGUGCCUAUAGAAAUAGUGAAGUGCGCUUCGUUGAGAUCCAGGAGCAGUUGUGCAGUGAGGUUAAACGUGGCCAGGAUCACUGUCAUAUGUUGAGCAACGACCACGAGUCCUUGAUUGAGGACUGGUUUACCAACAAACAGGACGAGGAGCCCGAUUUGCAUGCCUGGCUGUGCAUCAAUCAACUGAGCGUUUGCUGUCCAAGCAACACGUAUGGACCCACUUGCCAGCCGUGCACAGACUGCAAUAAUAAUGGGAAAUGCAAGGGGAACGGCACACGCAAGGGCAACGGGCAAUGCCUAUGUGACAGCGGGUACGCAGGUGUCAAUUGCAACGAGUGUGAUGAGAACAAUUAUGAAUCCUUUCGCGAUGCCACAAAGCUGCUGUGCACUCCAUGUCAUGCCGCUUGCGGUGAUGGCGGUUGCAACGGCGCUGGUCCAAAGAGUUGUCGCAAGUGCAAGGAUGGCUGGCGGAUGGACACCGAAACGGGUUGCGUGGACAUCAACGAAUGUGUGGAUCAGCAUCGAGCAUGUCGUCCGCAACAAUUCUGUGUAAACAACGAAGGCUCCUUCUCGUGCCUGGAAUGUGAUCGUUCAUGCGAUGGUUGCGAUGGUGAUGGACCCGAUAUGUGCAAGAAGUGCGCCGAUGGCUAUCAGCUGAAGGAUGGCAAAUGUCAAGAUCUGUCCUCGCAGCAGCGUGAUUCGUAUGUCAACAUAACACGAUUUCUCACCUACUUCGGCAUGUGCGUAGCCACCUGCGUCAUCUUCCAGAGCUCCACACAUAUUGCGUAUAUCGUUGGUGGUGCGGUGGCCAUCUAUAUAGCUGCCUCCGAGUAUUGGCUGAAUUGGACAGCGCAGGGCGGCGUUCAAAAGCCAGAAAUAGACACAAAGCAGCUUGAGGAUUUGAUCAUGAAGUCAUUAUAAGUCAGGAAAAAAAAACCAAAACAAAGAAGAGAAAAGACGUUUGGAAUAUUUGCUGAUAUAUACGUUAAUUUUAUUCUAUGAAUAAUUCUCGCAUUGAAUACGGAAAUCGAUUCAGAACCGGAAAUGGCGACAUCAAUGCGAGAGGAACUGUAACACGCACAGCAACAACUUAGUCAAAUU
rnacentral:misc_RNA from 1 species